rnacentral:rRNA from 1 species
GACGAACGCUGGCGGCGUGCCUAAUACAUGCAAGUAGAACGCUGAAGGAGGAGCUUGCUUCUCUGGAUGAGUUGCGAACGGGUGAGUAACGCGUAGGUAACCUGCCUGGUAGCGGGGGAUAACUAUUGGAAACGAUAGCUAAUACCGCGUAAUAGUAGAUGUUGCAUGACAUUUGCUUAAAAGGUGCAAUUGCAUCACUACCAGAUGGACCUGCGUUGUAUUAGCUAGUUGGUGAGGUAACGGCUCACCAAGGCAACGAUACAUAGCCGACCUGAGAGGGUGAUCGGCCACACUGGGACUGAGACACGGCCCAGACUCCUACGGGAGGCAGCAGUAGGGAAUCUUCGGCAAUGGACGGAAGUCUGACCGAGCAACGCCGCGUGAGUGAAGAAGGUUUUCGGAUCGUAAAGCUCUGUUGUAAGAGAAGAACGAGUGUGAGAGUGGAAAGUUCACACUGUGACGGUAUCUUACCAGAAAGGGACGGCUAACUACGUG